rnacentral:rRNA from 1 species
CCUACGAGUGGCAGCAGUGAGGAAUAUUGGUCAAUGGACUAGAGUCUGAACCAGCCAAGUCGCGUGAAGGAUGACUGCCCUAUGAGUUGUAAACUUCUUUUAUAUGGGAAUAAAAUGUUCCACGUGUGGGAUUUUGUAUGUACCAUACGAAUAAGGAUCGGCUAACUCCGUGCCAGCAGCCGCGGUAAUACGGAGGAUCCGAGCGUUAUCCGGAUUUAUUGGGUUUAAAGGGAGCGUAGGUGGUUUGUUAAGUCAGUUGUGAAAGUUUGCGGCUCAACCGUAGAAUUGCAGUUGAAACUGGCCGUCUAGAGUACAGUAGAGGUAGGCGGAAUUCGUGGUGUAGCGGUGAAAUGCUUAGAUAUCACGAAGAACUCCGAUUGCGAAGGCAGCUCACUGGACUGCAACUGACGCUGAGGCUCGAAAGUGUGGGGAUCGAACAGGAUUAGAUACCCCAGUAGUC